AGUAUAUCCCUUGGUGGAUGAUCAAAAGCUGAACAAGUGAACAGUCCCCAGGCAGAAACAUCUUUGGAAGGCAACACACAGCAGCAACCUUAACACCUCCAGGUAAACGGCCACUCAGCCUGCCCAGAGUUCACUUCCGUCUGAUGUCAUUGUGAGAUACAAAAGCCUGGAGACUACAUCAGUCUUUGGAGAUACACUCAGAGACACAGUUCUGCGGCUCUCUCAGAGGGAAGUGAUGUUAGCAGGAUUUAGCCUCAGUCUUUUCCGCAGUCUCUGCCACGGGAGUGCCGCACACUCGGUACCUUUUCUUUGAUGUUUCACUCUCCCAUGACAGCCGUGUACCAUCCAGGCAGCUUCUUCUAAGCACACCGGUACCUUUGUCUGUCCUGCCCCUCACACCUUCCUCCAGAUCUUGCCCACUUGCCUCAUGAAAGCUGCUCUUCCUUUCUCUCCUCUCCCCUGGUUACUUUGUUCCUUUUAUGAGGCAGAAAAGGGCCUUAUUUUGGCUGCUGAGUCACACACACCUUUUGUCCAGGAAAGAAACAGGAUUUUCUCCCUACCCUUGCAUGAAGCUGAGCCCUUUCCUGCUGAGUGUCAGCCUGCUGGUGGAGAUGGCUCAGAGACCCAUCUGGGAAAGUGGGCAGAGGAUGCUAAUCUCAGCAACUCCAGCAAAGAGGAGCAACCUGGAGCGGUGAGGUGCAAGAGGUCUAAAGGGCAAGAAAAAGAUGUCUGAAUAAAUCUCGGAGACUAAUUUGUUCAGGUAACCAUUUGCUGUAAUUACCACCUAAUAUUAUGUGUUUAGCCCUUUAGAUUAGCAGUGUAUGCUGUACAUUUCCUUAGCUACGGGGAUUAGAUGACUUCUAAGAUCCGGUCUAGUUCCCCAAAACACUGUAACAGAAUAACUUCCCAUGCAUGUUCUAAGCCUUUGUAGUCUGUCUUUAGAAUCUAACCAUUCCAUUUGUUUGCAUUCACCUGGCAUUACAUUGAGAGCUCAAUACUACUGAUUUACAAAGAAACUACUGGAAGCUGAAAUUAUAGUAAUACUUACUUUCUGCAAGGUAUUUAAAUGCACUUUAAAUAUUCAAAGGAGGUUGAAGCAGGGAAACUUUAUAAUCCUUUACCCCUUAAAAUUCUAUAGCACCUUUAAUAAAAUUCAAUGCACGCUAAUUUGUUUGGUUUUUGUUUAGUAAAGAAGCUCUUUCUUAAUUCAUGACUCUUAAAUUAAUCAAUUAUUGUAUUUAUCUUUAGUUUAUAAAGAUAAUAAAUCUCUUAAUUUAACUUUUUAUAUCCUCCAUAUACUUUAAGAGAUUCAAGUUUUCAAAAAAUCUAUUUAAUCCUCAAUAUACUUUCAAGGUUUUAAAUUUUGUAUUGCAAAAUAGGGGGAACUUGAAUUGCAUUUCUGGUCAUAUGAAUGUUGACCAUGACUCAGUUAACUCUAGGAUCACCACCACACUGAGUGGAAAAUACAUUAAGCACAGAGCAGUUAUGAGGCUGUAAUGGAGGAUAAUGGAAUUAUGUUGACUUAGAUCUUGGGGGUCAUGGGCACUAAUGUUACUUUCUCUCCUUCAGGAUCUGUUAUGCUUUCUUUUGCUCUGAGUCACUGAAGCAUUUUACAGAGAUCUUUCUAAAGUAAUAAAUUAGUGCUCCUUCAGUGCAAUUUUCACUGAGAUGUCACAGCCACUCCCUUCCAUAUGUUUUUCAUUAAAAAUGAUUUUAGAUUUAAAGAGUAUAGAUUUUCAAAAAGUUUACAUUUCAUUUCAUGUGCAUUGGUGUUUUGCCUGCAGGCCUGUGGGAGGAUAUUGGCACCCCUGGAACUGGAGUUACAGACAGUUAUGCACUACUAUGUGGGUGCUGGAAUCAAACCUGGGUUCUCUGGAAGAGCAGCCAGUGCUCUUAACUGCUGAGCCCCUUGGUUUUGAAAAUGCACUAGUCACCAAAAUAUUUUAAUAAUUAAAAGUGACAGGUCCUCUUCCCAGGGCCUAUCCCACUCUAGAGGGCACAGCUCAGGUCCUCUUCCCAGGGGCUAUCCCACUCUAGAGGGCACAGCACAGGUCCUCUUCCCAGGGGCUAUCCCACUCUACAGGGCACAGCACAGGUCCUCUUCCCAGGGGCUAUCUUUUAGGAAGCUGAUCAGCACUGCAGCAACAGAAGCCUGUGAUCCUUGCCUGUGGCCCAGAGCUGAGUGCAGCGGGAGCGCAGGGGUGCAGAAGCUGUCUUGAACUGAGCUGGCCAUGGACAAUGCAUCUUGGCCUUCAAGGAGAACAGAAACAUGCAGAAUUUAGUAAGUGUAAGAGGAUUAGAGGCAGGCUGGCACCAACUUGGAUUUCUCCCUUCAGAGGACAGAAGGAGAAGUGCAAAGGGAAUCAUUUUCUCAGCAUGUAAUUUGCUGCUAUCUGAUGCCACCAUCCACUGCAAUCUUGAUUCUUCUGGGCCAGCUUCCCAUGCUCCGGAAGCCAUUAGAAGACAGGGAAGUAUUCAUUUGCUACAAACCAGCCUGUUUUUAAAGGUGUACUGUGUGUAUUCACUGUGACUUAUUGGUGGUGUACAUUGUAUUAUUUUAUCAUUUUGAAUCCCCAUCCAAAAACUCUUUGAAAAAUUAUAAUUUCUAAACUCUGAUGAGAAAAUUUGGUUUUCUUGCAGGAUAAAUAUUAGAUUUGACUAUGAUAUGACAGAUUUCACAUUGGUUAAAAUUAGCAGUAAAGGGCUCGAAUCUACCUUAUCAGGGAAUGAUAAAAGCUUAGACAGUAGUCUACAAGUGGGCUUUCAGGUUUCUUAAAAAAGUGUUUCUAAAACUUAGAACGAUCUAGGUUUAAGUCAUGAGAAAUAGCUCUGUCUACCCCUGCCUGUGGAGACAAGGGCUAACCCUAGGAUGUCUGCAGAUGGUGUUCCCAAGAAUAAACACAAGUUAAUCAGGGAUGAGGGACAAUACUUCCCAGGCUGCUUUCCAAACUACUAAAACUGCGCUCAGAACUUGGUGUA